ensembl:lncRNA
GUUGGCAGAAAAAUGCCUGACUAUCUAGUGUUGAACCAACCAACGCCUUCUGAGGAAGCCACCUAAUGCUCUGUCCAAGACAUCAGUGUGCAUUCACAGACCAAAAAAAGGAGAUGUGAGGGACAGAUGAUACGUUACCAGAAUUAGCCAUUGCCACACCAAGUACGCAUCAGACUCAGGACUCGCCUUGGUUCAACAACCUGAAAUUCAAGUUCCCUAUUCCAGGCUCACAUGCCUUCUAAUGAUAGCGUGUUCGUGUCUCCUUCAGCUUUGGGCAUGACCUUUCUGAGCUGGCUGCUUCUGUUUCUCACCUGUACAUUGAGCCAAAAAACAGCCACCUCUGAAUUUUAGGAGGGGGUGUAAGGGACAGAGCAGAUGAAAGAUUUUCUGUAUUCAGUGAUAUGACCCUGAAUGAAUGCAGCUGAGCAAACUGGCCAACUCAGAUGAGCACUAUUUUGUACUGCUCAUGUUUACCAGCGUACUGUGCCUGGGUCCAAGAGCAAGCCUACAACGCUGCUAUGGUGAAGCUGGCCAGCCCACUUUAACCUACUCAGACAUGCCAUCUAAACAAAACACUCCCUCUCCAAAAACCUCCUGCUCCUCUCUGCCCUCUUGCAAGCCCUCUUGCUGCAAUCCUUUCCUGUGCUGCCUCUGGGGUGCAAUGGCUCUUGCUCCAAAUCGUUACUUCUAUGUGGAAGAUCGCCAAGCUGGAGUGGUGGGGCAGGCUGUGCCACCUGCUGCAGAGAGCUCCCCAGCUGUGGUGUGUUAGAUCCUGCUGUUGAAAUGCACCUGGGCAGGCUGCUCUGAAAACACCUGGGGGGUUACCAGCUGAGACCAAAGAGGCAGAAUGGGCUGGAGGAAUGCAGUUCUGACAGUAAGUUAAAGCCUAAGUGGGUUGGGCCUGCACUUACCUAUAGGAUGAUGAGAAGAGGGUGCUGAGGUGCUGCUGGGGCAGAAUGGGGGUGUUUUGGUGUGCAGAGGGCCAUGUUGGCACCAUCCUGAAAACAAUGAGCAAGCCCUGCUCUGAGGCUGCUUUACAAAUGGCUGCUGGUGGUCAUAGGACAUCUGGGAACGACGUGAAAACUGCAGAUGGUGGAAAUGUGGUAUGUGGGAACGCUGUGAAUUGUUCAGUCAGCAUCUAGGAAUAAAGAUACAAAACUUCUACAAUUAGAGAUCCUCCUCGGGAAGGAGUUUGCCAUCAGCGCACACCAGAGCUAAGCUCUUUCAAAAAGUGUCACCUCUAUUUUUGGAUGGGGGGAUUGAAUCAACUUCCAGUGUAAGGGAAAUCUGGUUUCGGGCUUGUGCAGCAGAGAAAAGGGAGUGGCAUGGCAUUGGCAGGUCACGUAGUCCAGUUCUGUACAUCAGGUACAACGGUACCAUGAAGUAUGAUUUUGACACAGGAAUCUCACCUUGAAUUUAUGUUCUGUUUUACUACUGGAAAAUGAACCAUGACUGUUAAUUAAGGACUGUUUCCAGGUUAAGUUUGCACUGUUUCUAAUUGUUCAGGUCCUCCACAUUUAAUCCAGUAUUGCCAUUCUAGCACAGAUUUGGUCCUUAGUAUGAGUUAUGCUGUGUCUUCAUGAUGUGCUGCUAUGUUUUAGCCCUGGUGUUAAGUUUAAAUGUCUUUCAGUUUUCCUUUGUGCUGGUUCUUUUAGCAGAACCCAGAGCAAGGGCCACCUAUAUGAGAAUCUUAUCCUUCAAGCUGUAAUCAGUGGGAAGCUGCCCUGCGGACCUUGGGAUUUUUCUAUUCCUAGUCAAGGGAGAAACAAACGAAAAGAAAAGAGAGAAAAUCAUCCAUGUCAGCUGCAGCAAGCUCUGUUCCUAAGGCACUCACCUUUGGCCUGCAGCACUAUGGGACAAAUGUGUUUGCACAAGUUGUAUGACUUACGGGGCUUUGGUGGACAGCAGAAGAAAGGCUGUUUAUGCACAAAAGGGAUGGGUUGGCCCUGGGGGCUGAGGGAGGAGCAGCUCUGGCUUUCUUUUCCUUUUCUUUCUUUCUUUCUUUUUUUUGCUGUCUGCGUUACUCUGUGGUGAUGUGAUGUAUCUGCUGUGGUUAGUUGCUGUGUCACUGCUUUACAGAUGCUAUGAGCUCACCAGUGGACAAUUUGUGGGUUCUUUAACUUCUGACGAGCAGCCAGUUGUUUUUCUAAAGAGCAUGUGACGAGGGAUUUUCUAAUUUUUCAGCUUUCAGCCAAAUUCAGUGGGAGUGCCAUAGGACAGGGAAGUGGUGGUGGACCCUUCUCAACUCCACCCUUCUUACUUAAUACCAAAAACUUAUCUAUAAACAGGCAAGAGGGAGGGAAGAGCGUUCCUCAAAGUGAGCCAAAAGAAUCCUGCACAAUGACAACGUUAAACUGAGAUUUGUGGAAAACAGUGCUAUUUUCUUUGGUUAAAAAUAUUCUGAUGAAAAAAAGCCCUCAAUGUUUUUUCGCUUUCUCGUGCCAG